rnacentral:rRNA from 1 species
AGUGAACGCUGGCGGUAGGCCUAACACAUGCAAGUCGAACGGCAGCACAGUAAGAGCUUGCUCUUACGGGUGGCGAGUGGCGGACGGGUGAGGAAUACAUCGGAAUCUACUUUUUCGUGGGGGAUAACGUAGGGAUACUUACGCUAAUACCGCAUACGACCUACGGGUGAAAGCAGGGGAUCUUCGGACCUUGCGCGAUUGAAUGAGCCGAUGUCGGAUUAGCUAGUUGGCGGGGUAAAGGCCCACCAAGGCGACGAUCCGUAGCUGGUCUGAGAGGAUGAUCAGCCACACUGGAACUGAGACACGGUCCAGACUCCUACGGGAGGCAGCAGUGGGGAAUAUUGGACAAAGGGCGCAAGCCUGAUCCAGCCAUACCGCGUGGGUGAAGAAGGCCUUCGGGUUGUAAAGCCCUUUUGUUGGGAAAGAAAAGCAGCAGGUUAAUACCCCGCUGUUCUGACGGUACCCAAAGAAUAAGCACCGGCUAACUUCGUG